rnacentral:rRNA from 1 species
GACGAACGCUGGCGGCGUGCUUAACACAUGCAAGUCGAACGAAGUGGCGAACGGGUGAGUAACGUGUGAUAAACCUGCCCUUCAGAGGGGGACAACAGUUGGAAACGACUGCUAAUACCGCAUACUGCAGGAGGGGAUUGUGUGUGGUUAGCUAGUUGGAGGGGUAACGGCCCACCAAGGCGAGGAUCAGUAGCCGGGCUGAGAGGAUGAACGGCCAAAUUGGGACUGAGACACGGCCCAGACUCCUACGGGAGGCAGCAGGGGGGAAACUUCCGCAAUGGACGAAAGUCUGACGGAGCAACGCCGCCUGAGUGAUGACGGCCUUCGGGUUGUAAAGCUCUGUUAAUCGGGACGCGGUACCGGAAUAGAAAGCCACGGCUAACUACGUGCCAGCAGCCGCGGUAAUUC